rnacentral:rRNA from 1 species
UACAGAGGUCCCAAGCGUUGUUCGGAUUCAUUGGGCGUAAAGGGUGCGUAGGCGGCGCGGUAAGUCGGGUGUGAAAUCUCGGGGCUUAACUCCGAAACUGCAUUCGAUACUGCCGUGCUUGAGGACUGGAGAGGAGACUGGAAUUUACGGUGUAGCGGUGAAAUGCGUAGAUAUCGUAAGGAAGACCAGUGGCGAAGGCGGGUCUCUGGACAGUUCCUGACGCUGAGACACGAAAGCGUGGGUAGCAAACAGG